rnacentral:lncRNA from 1 species
AGGAGCUGUAGCUGCAGGCCUAUACCAUGGCCACUGCAAUGCAGGAUCUGAGCCACAUCUGUCACCUAUACCACAGUUGCAGUAGCACUGGAUCUUUAACCCACUGUGCGAGGCCAGGGAUCCAACCCACAUCCUCACGGACACUAUGUCGGGUUCUUAACCCACUGAGCCACAACGGGAGCUACAAAAACAUUUUAAACCAACAAAAGAUGAAAACUUGUUUCUUUUGGCCUUGUCAUGUAGCAGCUUGAUGUGGGAUUUCAGUUCCCAGACCAGGGAUUGAACCCAUGCUGCAGCGGUGAAAAUGCCAGUCCUAACUUCUAGGCCACUAGAGAACUCCCAAAGAUGAAAUAUUAAAGGAAGUUCUUUAGGUAGAAAAAAAAUAACUUGAAAAUUUGGAUCAACACAAAGGAAUAAGUUCCCUUAUGGCUCAGCAAGUUAAGGAUCUGGCAUUGUUACUGCUGUGGCUCAGGUUACUGCUCUGGCUUGAGUUCAGUCCCUGGCCUGGGGAACUUCAGCAUGCUGAAGGUAUGACCCAAAAUAAAACAAAACAAAACAAAGGAAUAGAGAGUGUGAAAAGUGAUAAAUAGUAGGUAAAAUAUUUUAAAAUAUUUUCCUCAUAUUUUAAUCUCUUGAAAAAUAAAUGACUAAAUUAAAAAUAAUUAAAGUACAUUUGGGAGUUUAGCUUACAUAGAAGUAAUAUAUGUGACCACAAAACCACAAAAGACCUAAGGAAAGAAAUAAAAGUAUGUUGUUGUAAGGUUCUUACACUAUUUGAGGGUAGACUGUGACAAGUUGAGGAUGUAUAUUGUAAAUUCUUGAACUGCACUGUCCAAUACAGUAAGUAGCUGCUGGCCACACAUGGGCCAUCAAAAUUAAAAGUAAAAUUAGAGAAAACGAAAAACUCAGUUCCUUAGUCAUAUUAGCUAUACUUAAGUCUUACUCAUUUGAGACUAGUGGCUACCAUACUGGCUCAAACAUGAAUUCUAGGAAGAUUCUUCUAAAUGCUGUGAGGAGAGGGCUGUACAGUAAGGAGGAAAGGGAUGGAGAGAGGAAAGGCUGAGAGGGGAACUGUCAUCACCCUCCAGGCAGGAGAUAAUGAGAUAAGGGGAGGAGGAAAUGGGUUAGAGAAGGAUCUGUGGGAUCAGAGAUUACAGGUGAAUCUUUCUAUUUUGAAAAAUGCACAAUCACGUCACGUGUUUUUCAGCUUUGGAUUUGUGGUUAAAACACAGGCAGUAGGGUGCUAACAUAGUACAGAGCUGGUCUAAAGGGUAAAUAAAUCUAUUUAUUUUGAAGCUAAACCCAGACAAGUAAGAUUUUCCCAGUUUUCAAGUUCUCCUAGAAGGGAAAUUCAAGCCCCUUCCUCUCACCUAUCCAAGCACUCUCAAGAAGUCCUUUAAGAAAUCUUGGAAAUUCCCGUCGUGGCGCAGUGGUUAACAAAUCCGACUAGGAACCAUGAGGUUGCGGGUUUGAUCCCUGGCCUUGCUCAGUGGGUUAAGGACCUGGCGUUGCUGUGAGCUGUGGUGUAGGUCAUAGACGCAGCUUGACCCCUGCAUUGCUGUUGCUGUGACUGUGGUUUUGCAUAUUUGGCUUGGAUCUGGCAUUGCUGUGGCUGUGGCGUAGGCUGGCAGCUGCAGCUCUGAUUUGACCCCUAGCUUCGGAACUUCCAUAUGCUGCAGGUGCCGCCAGUUUAAAAUCUACUGAGAAUCUCCUUCUAGCUUUUCCUUCUCUCUCAUCUCUGUUGAUUACAUCUUUUAGACUCAAAUUAUAACCCUGGCAGCAUCUUUGUGUUCCAUCUCCAUCUCUUUAGAACCUGUCUCCUUAAUCACUCUUUUUUAUGAAGAGACUGUCCCUGAAACACUAAUAAAAAUCCACAAGUAUGAAGCAGAGAAGCCUUAUGUCCCAGAGAUCUCAUUACAAUUUGAAACACCAGUGAUUUCAAUGUUCUAAUAAUGUGAAAUCGUGGGCAGUUUAUUGUUUAUCACACCUGCAAGUGUCUUGGAUGGUACUCAUUGUUCUGCUAAGUAGCAGAAGCCACUAAUGUCCUUGUUAAGAGGGAACUGACUUUUAAUAAUACAUGAAGCAACUGGAAGCUGGUGUGUGAUGUGGUGAUGGAUGAGCUGGGAUGAAUAAAAGAUUAGAUAUGUGACUCAGGAUCACCCUCUGAGGGGAACUAAGUCCCAGUUUAAUGCAUUUCAUCUGGGCAAUUACCAGUGAAAUUGCCCUCUGCUUCCUAGAGACUCAGAUAACACUGUUGAGAAUAGUAAGUUCUCAUUGAAAUUGUCCUACUGAGGUUGUUUAAAGACUAAUCUCAGUUCCUGGAAUACUGGUUUUCUGAUCCAGGUGUGAUGUUUGGUUUUUAAUUUGAUUUUUCCUAUCCUGGAAAAACUGAUUUUUAUAGCUCCUUUAUUAUAUAUUUGAUCAAUGUGGGGAGUUUUUGUUUGGUUUUAGAACAGAAGCAGGGAAGGCAUAAGCAAGGGACAAAAAAUCCUCAGUUUUAUUACAGUAUAAUGUACCCUGGGCUAACAUUACACUAAAUUAUUAGUCUAUCAGUUCAGGAACUCAAAGGGAAUAGAAACACUAGCUUUAAACCAUAGUAAACUUUCUACUCAUAAUAUCCCUUCUCAGUUAACUACCAAUCUUAUAACCAGUACCACAGUACUUUUUUUGAGCCUAUCUCUACUAGUAUACGAGUAUAAAUUAGGAGUUCUGCGACAUUCAGGAUGGGGAUGCAGGCUUGGCAUCAUUCCAUUCUCAACAUUUGAGGUGGGGGGAGAGCAUGCCAUCCUCUGACCUUGAAGUUAGACUAAAAACUUGACCCCAAUCUUUGACACUUUGAUGGAGACAGUGGUGGAAUAUACUGCUGAGGGUUCCAAGGGGUGGCAUAAUUCUCAUUUCAAAGCUACAAAUACUUUUCUGUUUUGCAAGACAUGGGAACGUCCACGUAUUUUAUAGUAAGUAUUCCUUUGUUCAAGAAUAGCCACUAAAAAGGGUCAUUUUAAUUGUGUGAACAUAAGUCCUAGAUCUCCAAAGUAGACGGCUGAAAUCAGAGAAGGUAACCUGCUCUCUAAGAUAAGGCAGAGUUGGAGCUCUGUAGGUACGUAUUUUUAAGGGAGACAUUUCUUUUUCUAGGUAUGGAUUCAGGUCUCAUUUAUCCAUCUAUUUAACAUAUAUUUAUUGAGCAUCUCCCAGGUGCCAGGUACUAUUCUAGUGCUAGAGAUAUUGCAAUAAACAAAACCAAACCUUGGCCUUCAUGGACUUACACCUAGCUGGAGGUGAAAGACAAUAAAUACCUAUAUAAACAAAUAAAUAAUUAAGUAAAAAUAUAGUACCACAGGAGUUCCUGUUAUGGCUCAGCAGAAAAGACUUUGACUCACAACCAUGAGGAUGCAGGUUCGAAUCCCUGGCCUUGCUCAGUGGGUUAAGGAUCUGGCGUUGCCAUGAGCUGUGAUGCAGGCCAGCGACUACAGCUCCAAUUCAACCCCUAGUCUGGGAACCUCCAUAUGCCAAGGGUGUGGCCCUAAAAAAAAGACCAAAAAAUAAAAAUAGUACUGCAGAUAUGAGUGCUGUGGAGAAGUAUAAAGCAAAGUAAAGGAAUGAGAGAGUUCCAGAGUGAAGGGGAUCCUUGUGCCUUAAAACAGAUGAAGCAGGCAUUGUGCCUAUAAACUGUGGAUGACUAUAGAAGAUGGAGCUGUUUUUCAUGUAAGACCUCGUAAAACAGGGGCUUCAGGGUCUUGGUGAAAAAGUUGGAGAAAGACCUUUUCUUACUUCUGCCUAAGAGCCAGAAUCGUUGUGCUACUAUGAAGAUGUGGAUUGCAUUUUGGGGACCUGUGUCUACCACAGUCAUGAAUACUAGUGUGGUUCUUACUUGUGUUUUGAACAGAAUACUGUACCCUCAUGGUGGCUGCUCUAAUAGUGCAGCUGGAAAUUCCUGGUGGCUCAGCGGGUUAAGGAUCCAGUGUUG